GUGAGGAAUAUUGCGCAAUGGAGGCAACUCUGACGCAGCCAUGCCGCGUGCAGGAAGAAGGCGCUACGCGUUGUAAACUGCUUUUAACCGGGAAGAAACCCCAGGACGUGUCCUGGGUUGACGGUACCGGAGGAAUAAGCACCGGCUAACUUCGUGCCAGCAGCCGCGGUAAUACGAAGGGUGCAAGCGUUAUCCGGAUUCAUUGGGUUUAAGGGGUGCGUAGGCGGAGCGUUAAGUCAGUGGUGAAAUCCUGCAGCUUAACUGUCGACUUGCCAUUGAUACUGGCGCUCUUGAGUGCGCUUGAAGUGGGCGGAAUGUGCCGUGUAGCGGUGAAAUGCUUAGAUAUGGCACAGAACACCAAUUGCGAAGGCAGCUCACUAAGGCGAUACUGACGCUGAGGCACGAAAGCGUGGGGAUCGAACAGGAUUAGAUACCCGGGUAGUCC
rnacentral:rRNA from 1 species